UGCAUAUACCAUUCCAUAGAUGUAUUAUAUAUAUAUAUCGUUACGUAUGCUCGUGUGGGUCUCUUGAAUGCGCGCGACAUUUCUCGUCCUUGGCGCGAAUGCUUGGCCAGGUAUAUAGGCUGUCUCGUGUAGAGAGAGACACGAAAUUAUGGUCAGGUAUAUGUAUCGGUAUCCUGGAUGAUUUUUUUUUUUUUCUUUUCUUUUUAUUUUUAUUAUUUUAAGUUCGCAUAAAACACGAACAAACUUCUGAUAAUGUUUUAGGUCGGCGUUUUUUUUUUUUUUUUUCUUUUCGUUAUUUCAUUCUUUAGCUUCUUUUUCUACAAAAACUUUCGCAGGUGUACGUGCGGCGGAUUUGUACAGGUGUGUUUCGGUAGCAAUCGGAGGAUAUGGUAUUCGUAUACGUGCGCGUAUAGAUCGAAUAGGUUUUAUGAUUAUUUUAUUUUUUUUUUCUUCUUUUUAUUUCUCUUUUUACAGCAACUUACGCGAUACGUAUUAUGUUCGCCGUUGUGUAUCUCUACGUGCACGUAUGUACAGGUAUACGUAUUACAUAUACGCCAGAUAGAUCCAAACGGAGUCGACAGAUUUGCAAAGUGUUUUAUCUAUACAUAUCGAUUUGCGUCAUCGACUGCUUACUUCGUUCGUUUACUCAAACAUAUCUCGAAGCAUCCCACUGUAACCGCCGACGUAAAACGAUCCGAAUAGACCGUUUCCGUAUGGUUUACUUUUUCGAAUUAAUAAUAUUAACUAUGCGCGUUACACUGCCUCACUAUUUUUGAAAAUCGAAAAGCAAAUUUUUAAACAAAAUCUAAAUUUGCUUAACGUACGGAUCUUUGUUCAUUCGAAACUAGGCAAUUUUUUUUUUUUUCUUUUCAUCUACAAUACAUACUUUUCGCGAAAAGAUCUAUUUGUAAUAUUCGUGAAAAAACUUCAGGCGAAAAAAAUUUCACGUCUGGCGAAACGCGACGAGGAAAAAAAGAGAGAUAGCAAUUGCGAGAAAAUCCUGAGGGGUUUGUUAAUUUGAUGAAAAUGUUGGUAAUUUUAUUAUUUUUAUUUUCGUUUUAACAAACCCCCGGGUUUUUUUUUUUCGAGGCACGCAGACCAAGUAACGUAAAUCGAUCGUAAACCUCGCCGCCCCGAGCUCGUCUUUUGCCCUCCGCUCCCGGGGCGACUUAAGGGGGUGCAGAAAUGAGGGUGGAAAUAAAGGGAAGUAAAAGGGCGAGGGCGGGGGCGGGGGAGGGGGAGGGAAUGUUUGAAUCCCCUUCACUACGGUCGUCUAGAUAUGUUUUUGAGAUCGUAAAAUAACCCUUACACACCCGCACCGGAAUGGCCAGAGUCGCGUGGCGUGACAUGGUGAUUUUUAGGGGCCACCUGUUCCGCUCCGAUGGCGCGGUGGCACGUCCGAUAAAGAGAAGUAAGCUUAUAACCCUGCAGCUCUAUAACCGGGUCCCAGAAGCCACGUGACUUUUCGAUAAUCUUCGUACGGUUCCGUACGGUUCCGGGUGGAUCCGGAGCUUUCGUAGCUACAGGUAUACGACGUGGUCGCACGCUCUAUACCGGAGCUUUCGCUGGUAUAUCGGAGAGGGAUGUACGGAGGAGGAUGCGGAGGGACGAUCUUUGCACACCUGUCGCAGUCUCGCGCGGUACAAGUGAAACACGAGCGAAGAAAGAUACGGCGAACCAGCCGGGGGAACUCGAGAACCGAAGGGUUCGGGGGGGGUAAAGGAGCGUGCGCGAUACACGUUUUCGGGAUAUUCGGGAGUCGGGGACUCUCGAGAAGAAACUAAAGGCCCCAAGGCGCACCGGGUUACGUGUAUUUUGUACACCUGUCCAAAAUUUUUGGGUACCGACCCGACCUUGUAUUCGACGCACGCGCGAAUCUCCUUUGUCGUUAUAUUAAAAAUCAUCUUUUAUGUAUAUCUCAGCGUCGCGCAAAUUAGAUGUUAUGCACAUCGAUCGAUGCGUAGAUGUGUAAUUUAUUAUUUUUAGGUACACCUAUCCGCCGAAAUAUUGAUGUGAGGCCUACGGGGUUUCGAGAAACUGAAAUACACCUAGACGCGACCCAGUUAGUUUUAAGUAAAUUCGAAAAAUGAUUAUGUUUCUUUUUUGGUCUCUUUGGCAAUCUCCUUUCGUAUGAGAUACUGUUUCAUGAACUUACUUUUUUUAAGUAUGAAGCACAAAAAAAUCACAAGAAUUUUUGUUCAGUCGCAUUAACGCCUUUUUUGGAUCAUUCGGAUCGUUCGAUACUUUCCAUGACCACGAGGGUUUCGAUUAUUCAAAAAUAUGAAAAAUGUUGCUUGAUAUUAAUACCGGCCGUAUUUCAUGCCCCUCGAAAGGCAGCUUAAGGGCAAAAAUUCAACAAGUACAUUAAAACGUGGCAUCGUCCCAUAAAAAUUCAUCAGUUUUUAGACUCGAAGUGGGUGCUGAAAUCAUUUUUACUGCCUGAUUUUCGCUUUUUGACCGAAAAAAAUAUCAAACAAUCAAAGUUUUUGUCGGAAUUUCACUUUGAAAGAUUUUGAAGAAUUGAAAAAUUGUUCGCUGACGUCAAAAGUCGAAAAAAAAGUCAUUUCCUCAUUCCGCAAAAUUUUGCACUUUCUAUAUCUCGUGCUCUAAAAGUUCCGUCGAUUCUGGUUAUCGGUUAAUUGAUAAUGUGAUGAAAAAUGAAGUCGGUCAAGCUGAGGGCCGUUCCGCGUCGCCUUAAAUGGAAAAUAAUUGACGGUACAACCGCGUGUAUGAAAAUCAAUUAUCUUCCUGAAUUUACAUAUUAAAUACACUCAAAUAUCCUCAUAAUAAUAGUACCUCUAUUAUAAAACGACAUGCAACUGCGGCACGAUCGGCCGACACAUAUCCUCGAGGUAAGCCUGCACUUUAUGUAACAGAAAUCGGUUCUACUGAUCUAAAUCUUUCCAUUCGUAUGUAUAAUCAUUUUGCAGUGAUCAAUUUUUAUCGACAAGUCGAUCCACGAUACGCGGUAUAUUGAAUCAUCGCCGUGAACUCUAUUCUCCUUUUUCUUUUGCUUCUACUUCUUUUUUGUCUUUUUUUUCCACCUUCCCUUAUUCCACAUUCUUCAUCGAGUCGGAAGUAUCUUAUCUACCUGUAUCUACGGUGUGUCAUAGAUUUCACUUUGUACAGAGAUAAUUUCGAUGGAAAGUUUCAAUCGGUAAAUUUUCUUUUUUUUUUUUUUAUAUAUAUAACAUACACUGUAAUAAAAUUGAGUAUAAAAAUGAGGAUAAUCGAAGGUACAUACGCGUACACCGUCUACGGAAUUUUAUUAUCGUGAGAACGAUGAGAGCAAUGAAGAUUUACGCCGAAGAUAAAGGUGUAUCAAUGAGAAAAUACGUGUACAUAAAAAUUAUGUAUAAUAUAGAUUCGAUGGUAUUUCGAAGCGAUAAAUGAUGUUGUAGGUACGAUACACCCCACGGCCAUCGUCGUCGCUACCGCUGCAACAGAAGCUUUAUAUGCAUAUACAUGUACAUAUUACAUUAUACUCAGUUUCAGCUCAGCUGGUUGACGCAUAAUUGGGACACGGCGACGAAGAACUGCGGCGCGACGAGAAAUUUCAAUUAACUUUAUAGGGUCAAUACGUUGGUAUACCAAAGAGCUGCAGUACAUGCUCGUAUCGUAUCGUGUGUACAUGUGCACAUGUACCGUGUCAGAGGGUAUACCCCCGCACGUAUGACGCUGCCUACGUUGUACAAUACAUGGACGUCUGUACGUCCCACUCGUGUAUGGGGUAUUCCGUGACAACUGGACAACAUUUUCCGACCCCCUAAUACAUUUUUUGUUCUUCCAAAUUUAUCACCAGUAACGUUUACAGCAUUUCGAUGACACGGAAACGAGAUCGGUUCGUUUGCUAUCGAUGUCCCGAAAAGGUAGAUUGCCAGGGUAUAUAACACAGAAGACCCGGGUAUAGAAGGGGGAUGAGGCGGUUGAGGUAGAGGGAUGGGUUUCGCUCUCCAGAGGACGCGCCUCCGCGUCGGUACCGGAGGGUUGAGGGCAGAGGUGGAGGACUCUGUAUUGAUCAGCGUCCCCAACAAGAAGUUCUCUCUGCAGCCUAGGCAGAUAUCUACCGUACCCCCUCCCGUAACGUCGGCGGUCAGGAUGAUCGGCGGCCGAGAGGCGAUCGUUGGGCAUUUAAUAGUUUAACGGUCGGACGUGACUGUCGGCGGAUCGUUAUUUGAACUUGCACCGCGUUAAUAUUAUGGAGUGCGAGUCGCACUUGGUGAGGUAUUAAACGUCGUCGUCGUCGUUGCAUCGCAUCGCUGACUUCGUUUAACGAAGAUAUAAAAAUAUUCGCCUCCGCAUAGGUGCCGCGUACGUAAUGUAACGUUUACCGUGCGCGCUGUACGGGUGCGAAGAACGCAACCCGCACGUUGAAAUUCACAACGAAGCGGCCAUUUCAAAUUGUAUUUAUACACCACCAGAAUGUAUGACGCACCCGUUAAAAAUAACCCCUCCUAACGUUCUAUUAAAUAACACGCGUUCAAACUUUAAACACGCGAUCAAAUCAACGCGACUUAUACCGCACGUAUUAUAUGUAUACAUAUCCCUACCGUUGCACACGAGCGCCGUACAGACGUCAUAUUUAACAUUUUUUUUUUUUUUUUUUUUUUUUUUUCACCUCGCCUACAACCCUCCCAAUAUUUCCCAGACGAAUCUAUUUCCCUUGUUUCGUUUUAUUCCCUUCAUCGUACCAUCGAACGUACGCGUAUCGUGUGUGUUGCCGAUUCGCAGAUUUUCUCACUAGGUGUAAAUUCCAACAGAUUUCUGUCAAAUCCUCCGCAAGCUUUCCAUACGUAGAUCCAACGAACGAAAAUUUCAAAAUGAUUACUGAAAAUUUGAACAAAAAAAAAUCAUUCUCUCAUCCGCAUUUACGUGUAAAGGAAUGAGAACAUUUAUUUUUCCAAACAAAAAAAAAAUAAAAUCAUAGAAUCAAAAAUAGUCACUAGUCCUGCCGAUCUAUUUUUCAUCUGUUGCGGCCCCGCCGAUCCUUAUGCUCAUAAACGCGAUAUAUCCAUAAUCGAGGGACACGGGCGUCGUACAUAGCGACAGAUGCGUCUGGCACGCGACUCGAAAUUCUCCACAAGAGAUCGCAUUAUAAAAUACAUGAUACACAUAUACACACACACAGGUACGCACACGUGCGACCGUGUGUAUAGUCUGUAACGUAUAUUGUUACAGGUGAACAAGAAAGAGGAGGUGAACAGGUGAACGAAGGCUGUCUAGAUGUUCGUCGCGGCUCUUUAGCCGGCUUUUUCUGAUAGCUGCAACAGCGAGACGGGGACGUGGCGCGAUGCGGAGUAUAAACGUAUAAAUACAUACGUAUACCACGUAGUCGCACCGUACAUACACAUCGACGAGGAGAAGAAGACCCGAAUAAAAACGGAACAAGGCAGAAAAUAUGCAUCGUAAAAAGAGUCGUAAAAAAAAAAGAAAAGAAAAAAAGAAAGAAAGAAAGAAAAAAAAUAACUCGUGACGGCCAGCGCCCGUGCCUGGGAUUGAUUGGGACGUCCGUACGUCUAUAUAUCGUACAUAUAUAUGUACGUAUACAUCGCACGCCCAACGAUCUAUACGUCGAGGGGUGGAUAAAGCACGGGGUGCUCCGAAAUUGGGACUUGUCUAUGAAAUAUUGAAAAUCCUCGGCAAGUGUUACCUUCCGUGGAUAAUGAUUCUAUUUUCCUUUUUUUUGUGAAACCACGUAGGUACCGAUGUACGCACAGGUAAUACGUGUAACCGUGCGUCCGCAUGUGCGUACAGCAGCUGGACGGAGUCACUUUUUUAGCGAUUAUCUCCGUACAGUAUAUUAUAACUGUUACUCUCAUAUAUAUGUAACAGCUUCCGGGAAAGUUGCGAGCUGAGAAAAGUUGUAUAUCACAGGUGAGUUGAGCCGGUGAAUUUCGUCCCACUGUACAAUUCGUCAUUUCUAUCGUCGUUAUUCGUGUGAUAACUUUUUGUUUUCCAUCCCUCGUCCCUUCCGACCGCUUCGUCUAUUUUUUUUCACCCCCGUUUGCCAAGUCCGAAUAAUAUCCCCGCCAUUUCGAUUGAUUUCGAUAAUUUGAUACGAUCGCACGUAG